CAUGCCGCGUGUAUGAAGAAGGCCUUCGGGUUGUAAAGUACUUUCAGCGGGGAGGAAGGGAGUAAAGUUAAUACCUUUGCUCAUUGACGUUACCCGCAGAAGAAGCACCGGCUAACUCCGUGCCAGCAACUGCGGUGACUGAGCGGGCUGGCAAGGCGCAUA
rnacentral:rRNA from 1 species